rnacentral:misc_RNA from 1 species
GAUGAAGAACGUAGUGAAAUGCGAUAAGUAAUGCGAAUUGCAGAAUUUCCGUGAGUCAUCGAAUCUUUGAACGCACAUUGCGCCCACUGGUAUUCCGGUGGGCAUGCCUGUUCGAGCGUCAUUAUCCUCCCUCAAACCUCGGGUUUGGUGUUGGACCCAAGUUGUGUGAACAACUGGUCUCAAAGACAAUGACGGCGUCCGUGGGACCCUCGGUGCAACGAGCUUUUAAACGAGCACGCGUCGAGUUUCAAGGACCUUCCGGGCCGGUCUCCUUCUUUUAUUUACAAAGGUUGACCUCGGAUCAGGUAGGAAUACCCGCUGAACUUAAGCAUAUCAAUAAGCGGAGGA